rnacentral:rRNA from 1 species
AUUCGGGGUAUUAAGAUCUUGGAAUUGAAAUGGGUUAAAAGUAAAUCGCUUAGCGAGUAGCAACUGGAGGGCAAGUCUGGUGCCAGCAGCCGCGGUAAUUCCAGCUCCAGUAGCGUAUAUUAAAGUUGUUGCAGUUAAAAAGCUCGUAGUUGAAUUUUUGACUGGAGAAGACGGUCUUUGGUAACCCCACUGUACUGUCUCUCUCCGUCUUCUUUCCGGAGAAUGCAGCUGGGCUUCAUUGACUGGUUGUAGGAUUCGGAUCGUUUACUUUGAAGAAAUUUGAGUGUUCAAAGCGGGCAAGUGCCUUUGAAUACAUUAGCUGGAAUAAUAGAAUAGGACUUUGGUUCUGUUUUGUUGGUUUUUGGGGACCAUAGUAAUGGUUAAUAGGGACAGUUGGGGGCAUUAGUAUUUCAUUGUCAGAGGUGAAAUUCUUGGAUUUAUGAAAGACUAACUACUGCGAAAGCAUUUGCCAAGGAUGUUUUCAUUAAUCAAGAACGAAAGUUAGGGGCUCGAAGACGAUCAGACACCGUCGUAGUCCUAACCAUAAACGAUGCCGACUAGGGAUUGGAAGAUGUCACCUAUAUUGACUCCUUCAGCACCUUACGAGAAAUCAAAGUUUUUGGGUUCUGGGGGGAGUAUGGUCGCAAGACUGAAACUUAAAGGAAUUGACGGAAGGGCACCACCAGGAGUGGAGCCUGCGGCUUAAUUUGACCCAACACGGGAAAACUUACCAGGUCCAGACAUGGCGAGGAUUGACAGAUUGAGAGCUCUUUCUUGAUUCCAUGGGUGGUGGUGCAUGGCCGUUCUUAGUUGGUGGAGUGAUCUGUCUGGUUAACUCCGAUAACGAACGAGACCUCAACCUGCUAAAUAGUCACACUGUAUUUUUAUACGUGGAAGUACUUCUUAGAGGGACUAUCUGUGUUAAGCAGAUGGAAGUUUGAGGCAAUAACAGGUCUGUGAUGCCCUUAAAUGUCCUGGGCUGCACGCGCGCUACACUGAUGAAGGCAACAAGCAUUACCUAAACCGAAAGGUUGCGGCAAUCUUUUGAAACUUCAUCGUGCUGGGGAUAGACUAUUGCAAUUAUUAGUCUUCAACGAGGAAUUCCUAGUAAGCGCGAGUCAUCAGCUCGCGUUGAUUACGUCCCUGCCCUUUGUACACACCGCCCGUCGCUCCUACCGAUUGAAUGGUCCGGUGAAAUCUUCUGACUACGCGGCAUUAGCUUGCGAGGAACGUUGAUUAAACCUU